rnacentral:rRNA from 1 species
AGUGAACGCUGGCGGUAGGCCUAACACAUGCAAGUCGAACGGCAGCACAGUAAGAGCUUGCUCUUACGGGUGGCGAGUGGCGGACGGGUGAGGAAUACAUCGGAAUCUACUUUUUCGUGGGGGAUAACGUAGGGAAACUUACGCUAAUACCGCAUACGACCUACGGGUGAAAGCAGGGGAUCUUCGGACCUUGCGCGAUUGAAUGAGCCGAUGUCGGAUUAGCUAGUUGGCGGGGUAAAGGCCCACCAAGGCGACGAUCCGUAGCUGGUCUGAGAGGAUGAUCAGCCACACUGGCACUGAGACACGGUCCAGACUCCUACGGGAGGCAGCAGUGGGGAAUAUUGGACAAUGGGCGCAAGCCUGAUCCAGCCAUACCGCGUGGGUGAAGAAGGCCUUCGGGUUGUAAAGCCCCUUUGUUGGGAAAGAAAAGCAGCAGGUUAAUACCCCGCUGUUCUGACGGUACCCAAAGAAUAAGCACCGGCUAACUUCGUG